GACGAACGCUGGCGGCGUGCUUAACACAUGCAAGUCGAACGGAAAGGCCCUGCUUUUGUGCGGUUCUCGAGUGGCGAACGCGGGAGUGACACGUGAGUAUCCUGCUCUUGACUUUGGGAUAACUUCAGGAAACUGGGGCUAAUACAGGAUAGGAUAUCCUGCUGCAUGGUGGGCGGUGGAAAGUUUCGGCGGUUGGGGCUGGACUAGCGGCUUAUCAGCUUGUUGGUCGGGUAGUGGCUUACCAAGGCUUUGACGGGUAGCCGGCCUGAGAGCGUGACCGGCCACAUUGGUACUGCGGGACGGCGCAGACUCCUACGUGAGGCAGCAGUGGGGAAUAUUGCACAAUGGGCGGAAGCCUGAUGCAGCAACGCCCCGUGCGGGAUGACGGCCUUCGGGUUAUAAACCGCUUUCGCCUGUGACGAAGCGUGAGUGACGGUAAUGGGUAAAGAAGCACCGGCUAACUACGUG
rnacentral:rRNA from 1 species